UACGAAGGGGGCUAGCGUUGCUCGGAAUCACUGGGCGUAAAGGGUGCGUAGGCGGGUCUUUAAGUCAGGGGUGAAAUCCUGGAGCUCAACUCCAGAACUGCCUUUGAUAUUGAGGAUCUUGAGUUCGGGAGAGGUGAGUGGAACUGCGAGUGUAGAGGUGAAAUUCGUAGAUAUUCGCAAGAACACCAGUGGCGAAGGUGGCUCACUGGCCCGAUACUGACGCUGAGGCACGAAAGCGUGGGGAGCAAACAGG
rnacentral:rRNA from 1 species